CUGACGGCGCCUGGAACCUUCCGGUGCGAUGCGGGGUAUCAAUGGAGGGGCGGGGAGCGGCGGUCCCGUGACGGAGGCUGGGGGCGGGGCCUCCUGUGUUCCGCUCCCCUUGGAGGUGAUACCCCGUGAGGGCAGCAGGGGGCGCUGCUAAUACAGCCUCGCCGGAGAAGCGCCGUGGGAGGCGCUGAAGUUCUCCAACCCGUCGCGAAGUAAUUCCGUUCCUUCGAUGGUGACCCCGGGGUCAGCGCCCGGCUCUGUCUUGCUCGCUCCCCCACAUAUUUCCCGGUCCCCCGAGAUUCGUGCCUCGGGGACUUCCUGCAUGCCGUUACCCCGGGGGGAAUUCUGCUUCCACGAAUGUGUCCAGCGCCUCUGAAAAUACUUCUUGUUUAUACGGCAUUUAUUUAUAGGGUUCCUGCAAAGGAGGAAUGGCUCCCUGGUGGCGUUCCCUCCCGCUCGGGCCACUACAUGAACACUGUUGGAGAUUCUGGGAAUUUAGAGAAGACGGAGUCAGACCCUCCGGAGAGGUUUACACUGAGAAGGAUGAGAGGCAACGGACAAUUUGGAAAAGGAAAAUUUGACUUUGAUACCAAGAAGGAAAGAUCACAAUGAGUGUGAUAAAAAAACUGAAACAGGUGCCCAGGGAGGCUGUGGGAUCCAUAUCCUUGGAGGUAUUCAAAACUAGCUGUACAAGGCCCUGAGCAACCUGUUGCUGGGCUCCAUUUGAGUAAAGGUCUGCAGCGGUCCCUUUCCAUCUGCACCAAUCUCUGACACUUUUAUGAAGCCCAUUAGCUUCAUAAGCCCAUUAGCAGGAAAAAAAAAAAGGGAAUCAUUUCCACACUUUUUUGAAAGAGCAGUAAUUCUCAUGCUCUUGGUGAAGAACCAAUGGAGCAAUAUGGCAUUUUAACAUGUUAGCUAAGGAGAAAGAAUCAUAAACUAUUUGCAUGAGCAUAAAGCAAAGGGGACAAAUCCUGCUGGUAGCUGAGCACACGUACUGACCUUCACAGGAAUUGAGCCUGCUCAUCAUUUUGCAAGUUCACAUGAUAAGAAAAGGAACCAGCGUGAGAUCCUUUUUAUGCAGAAUUACAGAGAAAAAUCCCUUUCAAGUUGAGUGAAUGUAAGCAUGGAUGCCUCUGCUUCCAAGCUCGGAGUACAGUGUGGUGAAGGCUGAUAAAGAUCUGUGAGAGGUUCUUCACCCCAUCCUUUUUUUUUUUUCCAAGCUAAAAACAGAAGGCACACCCGUAAAGGUGAUGUGGUGACGUGGUGGCUGCUCGCUGAAGGGAGGCCAAAAUUGCAACCAUUUGCCUUCCCUUUCCCCCUGGCCUCUGCAGCUCUGUAAGGCUUUCUGACUCCCAGCAACUUUCUCCGCAAAACCUGUUCUCUCAUCGAGUUAUCUCCUCUGCAGAGGAGAGACACAAAUACCAGCUUGUCUCUUUUCAAUCAAGGAACAUGCAGUGCCAGAGGAUGAAGCAUCGGAUUCUUUACUUUUGAUUGAGGCUAAUUAGUGUUUGCUCUAAAGAACAUUAGAAAAAAAUACUGAGUAUUCAGAUUGCUGGAACUCACAGCCAGAGCACGGCUGCCUGAAGCAAUGGGGCUGCCUGGUACAAGUCCAGAGGUUCUCACUGAGGGGUGAGGAGGGAAGCCCAAUGAAGGCAGCUGCUUCUAUUUGUUUUGCAGGCAGCUCUGCUAUUAGGAAUCUACAAAAAAAAUAAAGAAGUCAUAAUGAAUGGAUGCUGUGUUCUGCGCUUUAUCUGUCUGCACUUAACAAGCAUAAUCAAAGCAUCACUACUGGCACUGAGACGAGAGGUUCUAUUUCUCCAGCUGGUCAGGUUUCUCCAGGAAAACUCAGUUCUAGCCCAGCGUCUGACAUGCAACGUAGUGUUCUGUAGACAUCUUAUAGACAAAUCUGAGUGCAGGGCUCUGGGCCCAGUGCCUUCUCAAGCUCUGUGUCGUGCUUUAGCCUGGCAGGCAGCUCAGCACCACACCGCAGUUCACUCCCUCUCUGGGCAAAAGGAUGGGAGAAAGAACCAGGAAAAAAAAGAGAAAAGAAACUCAGGAGUUGAGAUAACAAUCAUUUAAUAAGAAAGAAAAGGGAAAAAACCCAACCAAAACCAAGUGAUGUACAGUGCCAUUGCUCACUGCCAGCCAACUGAUGCCCAGCCAGUCCCUGAGCAAUGCUAGCCACCCCCAAACAGCCAACUGUCUCAGUAUUGUUGCUGAAUGUGGUGCCAUAUGGUACAGGACAUCCCUUUGGACAGUCUGGAUCAGUUAUUCUGGUGCUGUUCCACUCCAGGUCCUCACUGGCUGAGCAACUCCUUGCCCAAGUCUUUGGUUCUGCGCAAACACUGCUCAGCAACAACUAAUCAUCACUGCACUAUCUUCAUUAUUCUCACAGUAAGUCCAAAACACAGCACUACACCAGCUACAGUGACGAAAAUUAACUAUCCCAGCUGAAGCCAAGACCCUCUCAGAUCUACAUUUAUGGCUGGUGAUCAGUUUUACACUUGACCAAGACAAGCUUUACAUUCCAAUUUAGUUCAGCUAUGGGGAAAUGUGCCUGCAAGUCCAGGCAAAAAGAUUCUGGCCUGGAUGUAACACUCCUCACAUAUUGCAAGAGAUUUCUUUUGUGGGACAAAGUGAAAUCUCAGUGCUUAAUGGUAAGGAUCGCAUGGAUCUGUGCUGAACAGAUGGAAGAGAUAUUGCAUAAAGCCUAGUUCAUGUGUUCUUUGAUUACUGCCUGUUAGCCUUUAUCUCAGACUCUUGGAAACACCAGCUUUCUAUCAAAAGGAAAUGUCACCACUUUAGCUAAUAGACUUUUUUUUCUUUCCCUCGCAAGAGACUCUAAUUGACUUUUUUUUCCAGUUGAAUACAGCUUUAAAAAUGAAUAUUUAAUGUCAGGCAUUAAAGUUCCUACAUUGGCUUGCAGAGGAAAUCUUGACUCACACAGAUGCUUGUCAAGAGGAAGAAAAGGGAGACCAUGCUUCCCUCCCCUCCAAGACACAGAAAAGGAUUUGUCUUGAUGCAGCUCUGCAGUAUAGGCAAUUUUAUGCCUGAAGAGGGAUUUUCCCCCCCAGCCCUUCCUACAAGGCUCUGAGCUAUGGGGCAGCUGCGUCCAGCAGCCAUUGCCUCCAACAGCCUCACACUUCAUUCAGAAAAGAGCUGAAGCUGGCAGGCUUGGGGCUUGCUCCUGUCCAGAAGUCAAGGAGAUGUGCCAAUUCCUGGCAAUUAAUAUUUUGUGCUUUUUCCCAGCUGAAUAAUUCCCCAGCUUUGCAGAUCAAGCAAGAGACAUACUCAAAUUGCUUUGCAGUACUAAAUUCUGGGAAGCAAAUGGAGGACUUGUAACAAAUCUGUUGAACAACUUGUUUAAUCUUGAGCGUCUGCUCAAGCCCCUUGACUGCAGGCUUAAAGUGAAAGCAUAUGCCUCGUGCAGUAGCAACUCAAACGUGAGCAGAAUCAGGGCCAUUUUGAGGCACUGAUCAUACUACGUUGCCAUCUAUAUCAGAGCUUCCUGCUGCUCCAUGGUAGCCUGAUAGCUGAUGUCAGACUUCCUCAAGAGAGUGUUAAUUUUAUGAAGUGCCGUGGAUAACAGGGCCCUUCCUGAAACCAGCAGGUCAGUCUGUACUGCAAAGUGUGGAGAUUUCCAUCUGCCUUGAGGAUGGUGAACAUCGCUUUUGUGCAGAGGAAUAGCUGACCCUUCCUGCUAAUGGGCUAAACCAUUUGCUGUCCGUGUAAAUCACGCAAGGAACACUUGAAUGUAGCUAAUUGCUAAAAAUACCCCAAGUUUCAGCAGUAGAAAAGCUGACAAUUCUUCCAAGUCAUGUUAAAAAUACUGCUUUAGUAUGGCUUCAGUGGGAGCUGCAUCCUGUGAGCGCUGCAAGCAGAAUGGGACUGCCAUCAUCCCUGGGUGGGAUUCCUCUACCAUGUGAUAUGUCCUGUGGGUGCCGCAGCACAGCAGGAGGGAAGCUACAAGCUCUGAAAAUGUGCCUGCAAUAACAAUCAAGCAUUCUGGGCCUGUAUUUCCCCCCCCCCCCCCCGACUCAUCACAGCUUUGCACUUUUUUCCCCCCAAGCUUACUUUAUCAGGUCAAACCUUCUUUGGAGUGCAAACCUGAAUAUCUGAAGCCACAGGAAUGACAGACUGAUGGCUGUUGGCACUGGCUGAUGAAGAACAAGUCACAAGUGCUGGAGAACUCCAGCCAGCAAUCCUUCUGGGCUGGGGACUCGAACGGUGAUGAAAAAUGACAGCAGUGUAUUGAUAUCUCCCAUUUCAUUAUGUGAGCUUGGUGAAUUUCGGUUAUAGCACCCACGUUUGGUUAUAAUGGGGAAGGCAGAUCUGAAUGUCUUUGUACACUAGAGGGUAGACUGAUAGAAGUUAUCCCUGGAGGUGUUCAAGGCCAGGUUGGAUGAGGUCCUGAGCAGCCUGAUCCAGUGCCUGGUUCAGUGGUUGGCAACCCUGUCCACAACAGGGCCUUGGAACUGGAUGAUCUUUGGACGUUCCUUCCAACCCCAGCCAUUCUAUGAUUCUACAGAGGCCAAGGAUAUGCCGUGGGUUGCUACCUCUUCUGUUCCAAACAAUCCACUGGAUCGGGAGUGAGCCCUGGAGUACUUUCAAUUGCAUUGCUGCCA
ensembl:lncRNA